AGCUGAUCACUGGGCAUAAAGCGUGCGCAGGCGGUUUUGUAAGACAGAGGUGAAAUCCCCGGGCUCAACCUGGGAACUGCCUUUGUGACUGCAAGGCUGGAGUGCGGCAGAGGGGGAUGGAAUUCCGCGUGUAGCAGUGAAAUGCGUAGAUAUGCGGAGGAACACCGAUGGCGAAGGCAAUCCCCUGGGCCUGCACUGACGCUCAUGCACGAAAGCGUGGGAGCAAACA
rnacentral:rRNA from 1 species